ensembl:lncRNA
CUUGCGAACAUGCAGCUUUUUGCUUCUCAAGAUGUUAAUUGAUUGUUUGUAGAUUAUUUUUAUUUUAUUAGCUUUUUGUCUCUUAUUCUGACGGCACCCAUUCACUGCAGAGGAUCCAUUGGGUGAGGAGGCGUGGUUCAGUGAGGUCUGCAGCGGGAGAGAAGUUCAGGAGACAAACGUGAUUGACCAGAUAAAAGAGUGACUGGAGAACGUGGAAGGGGAGAGAGACUGGAUGGAGAACUCAUUCGUGCUCGCCUAGUCUGAAAGCCAGAGAAAUCAGAGGAACUGAGUAAUUGUGAGACUGGCGACUGUCUGAAAGCGCAGACAACGCAACUUUUGUGUUUUAUGAUUGUUUUCAUUGAAUAAAAAUGCACCACCGACCCUACCCUCUUCCUUACUUACUAAAAAC